CACCGGCGCCCCGAGUGGCAAUCGCGAUUAUUGGGCCUAAAGCGUCCGUAGCCGGACAGGUAAAUCCUCUGUGAAAUCGUUGCGCUUAACGUAACGGCGCGCAGGGGACACUGCCUGUCUCGAGACCGGGAGGAGUCAGAGGUAUGCCGUGGGGACUGGUAAAAUGGUAUAAUCCACGGUAGACCACCAAUGGCGAAGGCAUCUGACCAGAACGGAUCUGACGGUGAGGGACGAAAGCCAGGGGAGCGAACCG
rnacentral:rRNA from 1 species